CGGAGUCAUAGUUUAAAAAAACAUUAGCAUUGGAAGUUAAAAAUUAGGAUUUAAAUCCUAUACUCUGA
rnacentral:tRNA from 1 species